GACGAACGCUGGCGGCGUGCUUAACACAUGCAAGUCGAACGGAAAGGCCCUGCUUGCCGGGUACUCGAGUGGCGAACGGGUGAGUAACACGUGGGUGAUCUGCCCUGCACUUCGGGAUAAGCCUGGGAAACUGGGUCUAAUACCGGAUAGGAGCCAUUUUUAGUGUGAUGGUUGGAAAGUUUUUUCGGUGUAGGAUGAGCUCGCGGCCUAUCAGCUUGUUGGUGGGGUAAUGGCCUACCAAGGCGGCGACGGGUAGCCGGCCUGUGAGGGUGGACGGCCACCAUGGCGCGGAGAGGAGGCCGAGGGAGCGAAGGGCGGGAGCAGGGGGGAAGGAUGCACGAUGGGCGCGAGGCGGAUGCAGCGGGGCUGCGUGGGGGAUGACGGCGUUAGGGUUGAAAAAUACUUGCGCAAGGAACGAAGCAUUUUGUGACGGUACCUAGGUAGAAAGCACCGGCUAACUACGUG
rnacentral:rRNA from 1 species